rnacentral:rRNA from 1 species
AAAUGAAUAGACGGGGACCCGCACAAGCAGCGGAGCAUGUGGUUUAAUUCGAAGCAACGCGAAGAACCUUACCAAGGCUUGACAUCCCCUGCAUAGGAUGGAAACAUCUGAAAUCGUAGCAAUACGACAGGGAGACAGGUGGUGCAUGGUCGUCGUCAGCUCGUGUCGUGAGAUGUUGGGUUAAGUCCCGCAACGAGCGCAACCCUUGUGGAUAGUUGCCAUCAUUAAGUUGGGCACUCUAUUCAGACUGCCGUGGACAACACGGAGGAAGGUGGGGAUGACGUCAGAUCAUCACGCCCCUUACGUCUUGGGCUACACACGUGCUACAAUGGUCGUUACAGAGAGAAGCGAGCCGGCAACGGAUAGCAAAUCUCAAAAAAGCGAUCUCAGUUCAGAUUGUGGGCUGCAACUCGCCCACAUGAAGGAGGAGUUGCUAGUAAUCGCGAAUCAGCAUGUCGCGGUGAAUGCGUUCCCGGGUCUUGUACACACCGCCCGU